AGUUGUUUCCUUCAAACUGAAACUAAACUAAAACAAAAGCAAUAGUCAUGUACUAUUUUAUCGCUUAAGAAAUUGUUCAUUUCAUUGAAUAUCACCGUCGUAUAUAGACAAUAAACAAAACGUUAAUAUUCAUAGACACUAUAGGCUAUUUUCCCCCUUUAAGCGUGGUGGGUUACAUAGUUUUCAUGAAUAUACAGAUUUUGCUUUUAACUCCCACAAAUAAGCUCAUAUUUUGAACAUUCCUAGAAAAAGAGAUAACAAUUAGAAAGAGCAGUUGUAGCAUAUCGCAUUACAUAAAGUAGCCAAUUUUUAGGUGAAACGUCAAUUGUGGAUUAUGUUGUCAUGCCCGUGAUCUACAUCACCAUGCCCUUAGUGAUGCCCCUCUAUAUUUUUUUCUCUCUAUCCUUCUUUAUCUUUCUUGAGUCAUCAUCAUCAAAAUUACCCACUUUUUUUUCUUUAUUUUUGUUUUUUCUCCAUUCUUAUCAUUUUGUACUACUAUAAAAACAAACCCAUUAUUUCCACAAAACUUGUUUCCAACACUACUUGCCAAAGUUUUCCCAAAAAAAAAAAAAAAAAACUAUUUUCUUUGGGUUUUAUAAAUUAUAAACAUGGAUCAUCAAAGUAAUGAAGGUGGCAUGAAAGUGGAAAUUCCGGAGAUGAAUUUUACAAGUCCUAGAGGUUUGACUAGGCAACCAAGUAAUGGAAGUGCUAAAGUGAUGAGUACUUGCCUAUGUUCUCCGACCACCCACGCCGGCUCUUUUAGGUGUCGGCUUCAUCGGUCUCCGAGCCUCCAACGUACUAGAAGUGUAGAAACUCCGGCCUCCUCUAAGCCGGAGAAUGCUACUGUUACUACUAGUAACUACUAACAAUAUAUAUAAGUUCGAUCAGUACAUGAUGUAUUGUAUACGACAUGCUCAUGUAUGUGUUUUUGUUUUGAUCUUUUUUGAUCUUACCUUUGAUAUAUACUUAUAUUGGUUGUUGUACUAUUAUGUCAUGAUUAUAAAAUAUAAUCCAUCAGUCCAUCACUAAUGUUCUGUAGCUGAAUCUGAGGAAUUAUGCAAUCUGAUAUACAACUAUACUAGUAUAUAUUAUGAAUAA